AUUGAACGCUGGCGGCAUGCCUUACACAUGCAAGUCGAACGGUAACAGGUCUUCGGAUGCUGACGAGUGGCGAACGGGUGAGUAAUACAUCGGAACGUGCCUAGUAGUGGGGGAUAACUACUCGAAAGAGUGGCUAAUACCGCAUGAGAUCUACGGAUGAAAGCAGGGGAUCGCAAGACCUUGUGCUACUAGAGCGGCCGAUGGCAGAUUAGGUAGUUGGUGGGAUAAAAGCUUACCAAGCCGACGAUCUGUAGCUGGUCUGAGAGGACGGUCAGCCACACUGGGCCUGAGACACGGCCCAGACUCCUACGGGAGGCAGCAGUGGGGAAUUUUGGACAAGGGGCGCAAGCCUGAUGCAGCAAUGCCGCGGGCAGGAUGAAGGCCUUCGGGUUGUAAACGGCUUUUGUACUGAACGAAAAGCCCUGGGUUAAUACCCUGGGGUCAUGACGGUACCGUAAGAAUAAGCACCGGCUAACUACGUGCCAGCCGCCGCCGUAA
rnacentral:rRNA from 1 species